AGGACAGGACAAGGGCGCCUGUUGUUCCAACGGAUAUCUCGCAUCCGGUGCUCAGCCAUUGGCUGGCGGCGUUCAGCCAUUGACAGGCAGUCGAAUCCUGGUGGCCACUUGGGGCAGGACAAAGGUGCAUCAGGCUGCAGUUGACCCAGCGUCUGCGUCCCUUGAACGCGUCACCCUAUACGUAACUUAACGCUACAUUGUUUUACUCGACUAUUCUGUCUUUAUCUCCAACCUGCUGAUGACGCUACGUGCCACUCAAACCUCAGUGGCCAUUUCCUUCUGUAAACGUCCUGUUUGAAGCUACACUGGAAAGAGAGCCAUAACUGCAAAACCGACUCCUGCAGAGCCCAGAGGAAGGCCCCUGUGCACAGAAAAAAAAUAAAAAAAUGAUCAAAUUGAAAUGAAGCCGUAGACCCUUGCUGCUGUGGGAGAUGAACUGCGUCUGGAUUGUCAAACAGAGGACGCAUCUCACUGUGCAGCACGUCAUCUGUCACUGAGUCACGCGCUGUUGCUGCAUAGCCUAGGAUGAUCCUUUGGGUGAGUGUGAAUUCACAGCUGUCAGCUAUUCCCUCUCAUUCUGUGACCAUUUUUGGCAAAAUUUUAAAUCCCUAAACAUGACAGAUGAAUGUGGUGGAAUUUACACGACAGAUAGGUGAGGAAUGAUGCAAUGGUUGUAAUCCUGUUAAGUAGUAGGCAGGUGCUAUGUGAGUUCUCGGUGUAGCCUUAAAUCUUUGUCAUAGCGGAUUACAGG